rnacentral:lncRNA from 1 species
AAGCUGCUCUCCCUCACAGGCCUGGACCUUGCAUAUUGUCUUCUAAUCACAAUGAGGGCCGAAUUUCAGAACAAAGAGAACCAGAGACGUGCCAAAGAAUUUACUGGAUUUUUUAUUCCUGAUCUAUAAUAAUGCUUUGCAGUUUCCUGAUAGUUUUCUACUGCUUUCUGCUUUCUACCUGCAGAUGGCGCUCUCUUCAUCAGAUCCAAACCACUCUGGACCUGGCAGGUGCAAGUGAGGAGGACCCAGCAGAAUGGGUCAUAACCCACAGCCAUACAAUGGUGACUCUCUCCUAGGGUAUCUAGGGUAUCUGUCAUCUCUGUCUCACUCCAAACCACAACCAAGUUUAGGGUUAUGGAACUAGGCAGUGUCUCACCUCAUCACUUUAUAAGGCAUAGAGGAAAACAUUUAUAGUAGAAAUUUUAGCUGGCCAUUUCUGGAUCUUUCAAGGAUUUAUUUAUCAGCAAUGUGUCUUGCCACUUGAGGUCUGCUUAUUGCUUCUGGGUGAACAGGGAAGGAGCCAUCAGAAUCAGGGUGGCAAGUCUUGAAACCAAGGAAAGAAAAUUCUAGAAGGAACAAACUAUUGAGAAUCAUUAGGCCCUGCAGUAUUUUAUCUUCUAAGAUAUUUUCAUCCUGUUCACUUGAACCUUCCUGAAGUGUGUUAAUUCUCUCUCGGUUCUCUGUCUCCUUUGGUGGCUGCCUCCUGAAACUUCCUUCCGAGAAGCAAGUGUCCCCUUAUGGCCUGGGGAAAGAGGGCAUUCUAACACCUCGAGCAGACAGGUCACAUCACUGUUCCUGGGUUGUCUUUCCACUUCACAGAUUAUAUUAGUAUAACUUAUGUCUGCAUUUUGGUAUUGACGCUCCCUUUGCCCACUUCACCUAAAUUCCCCUUUUAGCUUCUCUACAAUGGAGAGCAUUGGAGGGAAAGCAUAUGUAAAUGGAGGAAAAGGACUGUUUUUCUGUCUGACCUGAGUUGGUGACUUGUGAGCACCUCAUGCCCACCCCUCCACCUCACUGUGCUCCUCAAACUCCUUGCUCUGUUCUUCCAAAAUAGGAUGUGGCCAUAGGCCAAGGAAGAAGCACUCCUAGGAGCUCUGCCCUUUGAGGGACUCAGUUAUACAAUGUCUUAUUCCCUAGGCACAAGUCUUCUCCAGGAGCUUUAUCUUCUUCAAACCUCUGUAAGGCUAGUCUCCAACACCUCUCAAUCCUGCCAGUGCAUUAAUCCCUAGUGGUAACUUUGCCUAAAUAGGAGUAAUGUAGAUUCAUUAAUAUUAUAGUUGGGGGGAGUUAGAGGGUGGCUUCUGCAGAAGAGUCCAGAGUGGACUUGAUGUUUUCCAAAAUUGCGUAAGGUGAAGAGUAAAGCAGAAUAAAGAUCUUUCUUGCUCAUCCAAUGAGAUCAUCAUUGAGUCAAACACAGAGGCAUAAAUCUCAAGAGAAGCAUUAACUCUUAUAGCACUAUCCAGAUCAUAUCUAAAAAGAAAAACAUACAGCAUUUUAUUAACACAUCAUAUCAUACAGGGUCUCCACCAGUGACAUGCUAUUAAAUAUUGAAUAAUCAGCUCUCUGGAAAAAAAAAAGUUUGCACAUGUGUAUAUGUCCAUUAUGAAUUUUAAUGAUAUAAUGAUUGUAUUGCACAUAAUUAUAAAUAAUAAUAGGUAUAUAAUACUUGAUUAUAAUUUCAAAAUAGUAAAUUAAUUCUCAAAGAAUGUUUCAAAGAUUUUUGCCAAACUUAUCUGUUUGCAAUUGAUAAUUAAGUGUAGUUCUGACACUUGUACUUACAUUAAUAGGUAAGAUGAGGCUGUCUCUCCCUCUGGGAAUGGCCCAUGUUCUUCCUUGAAUAUGCAUUCCUUGCUUUAUCCCCAAAGCUUCUCACUCUCAAGAUGGCUGGCGUUCUCCCUCAAAUAUGUAUUUUGUACUUGACCCCAGAAGACAUCUCUCCCUUGAGAUAGCCUGAGUUCUCCCUUGAACGUGUAUUUGCUUUCCUAAAUAAAUCUGUUGUGUCUCUGGAAAAAGUAGAUAAAAUAAAAAUGAAACAAUGAAGACAUGCAUAAGAA